GGGCUACUGUUUACGCAUUCAAAGAACUUAGACAAAUAUUACUAGACGUUCUCGAUUUGUACAUGUUGUUUGGGCAGUUGAGAAUUGGUGAAGUAUAUUCUGAGUUCCUAGGUUCAAGCACUGUUAAAUUUUCUUUCUUUUGUUUGCGGGAAUGAUUUAUUGGGAAUCGGGUCCAUGACCAGUUUUUAUUGGCCAUUUAUUUCCUUGGGAACAGGCCGUUUUGAACG
rnacentral:lncRNA from 1 species